rnacentral:rRNA from 1 species
GUGCCAGCAGCCGCGGUAAUACAGAGGGUGCAAGCGUUAAUCGGAAUUACUGGGCGUAAAGGGUGCGUAGGUGGUUGAAUAAGUUAGGUGUGAAAGUCCUGGGCUUAACCUGGGGACUGCGCCUAAUACUGUUGAGCUAGAGUACUGUAGAGGGAGGUGGAAUUUCCGGUGUAGCAGUGAAAUGCGUAGAUAUCGGAAGGAACAUCAGUGGCGAAGGCGACUUCCUGGACAGAUACUGACACUGAGGCACGAAAGCGUGGGGAGCAAACAGGAUUAGAUACCCUGGUAGUCCACGCUGUAAACGAUGAGGACUGGCUGUUGGACCCCGUGAGGGGUUUAGUAGCGAAGCUAACGCGUUAAGUUCUCCGCCUGGGGAGUACGACCGCAAGGUUAAA